rnacentral:rRNA from 1 species
UACGUAGGGGGCAAGCGUUGUCCGGAUUUAUUGGGCGUAAAGAGCGUGUAGGCGGCCAGACAGGUCCGUUGUGAAAACUCGAGGCUCAACCUCGAGAUGUCGAUGGAAACCGUCUGGCUAGAGUCCGGAAGAGGAGUGUGGAAUUCCUGGUGUAGCGGUGAAAUGCGCAGAUAUCAGGAAGAACACCUAUGGCGAAGGCAGCACUCUGGGCCGGUACUGACGCUGAGACGCGAAAGCGUGGGGAGCAAACAGG